rnacentral:rRNA from 1 species
UACGGGGGGGGCAAGCGUUGUUCGGAAUUACUGGGCGUAAAGGGCGCGUAGGCGGUCCGCUAAGUUGGAUGUGAAAACUCUGGGCUUAACCCAGAGCCUGCAUUCAAAACUGACGGGCUGGAGUUCUGGAGGGGAUAGCGGAAUUCCUGGUGUAGCGGUGAAAUGCGUAGAUAUCAGGAGGAACACCAGCGGCGAAGGCGGCGCUCUGGGCCGGAACUGACGCUGAGGAGCGAAAGCGUGGGUAGCAAACAGG